GUAGGUGAACCUGCGGAAGGAUCAUUAACACGUAUCCAAACGUAAAACCCCCCCGUGAAUAUUGAACGCCUUGCUCUCGCGAUCGGCUUUUGGAAUGGUCUUGGGAUGUUCUUGCGACAUGAUGCGCGCCCCGCUGGUAACUCACAUUUGACUCAGCGUGCCGCGCAACUAGCGAGAUAGUUUCGAUGAUAGUUUCAACCCUUUUUCGAUGAUGCGGCACUGUUUACAAAAAGGCUCGGUUGCCCCUGUU
rnacentral:misc_RNA from 1 species